rnacentral:misc_RNA from 1 species
GUCCUCUUCUCUGUCGAGUCUUUCAUGAGCUACGCCUACUUUCCUUUGGGUAACCUCACGCACACAAAGAGCCCCUCUCCACACAGGACACAGCGCCACAAGCCGUACGCUGAGCGCUAGGGGACCACGGAAGCCACAUACAAUCAGCUGGAAGGACACUCACAUCACUGUAUCCUCUCGGAUACUAUCGCUGACUCUGUCAGCCGGGGGAAGGCCACUAGUGUCUUCAUUGUACGGUCCUCCAACUCCUAUCUUCGCUCACACGCGGAAGUCGUGAAGCGUGCUUCUUCCUCGCUCUUUCCGCUCUCGCGUGUUUUGCGUGGCUGAGAAGGUCGGCCUUGCUUCGUGUCCUCGGUUAUUGAUUACCCUCUCCGUUCACCGUCUGUUUUCUGUUGCUCUUUGGCCGAUGUCGUCGUUGGCCUUUACGCUUCGUCAAACGGUGGUGCCUGUGGUGACAAGAGGCGCUAAACCACUCAACUUUCCAGUUCGCCGCAUCUACUGCGUCGGGCACAACUACGACAGCCACGCACGGGAGAUGGGCGGCGCCAUCAACCGCACGGAGCCGUUCUUUUUCUUGAAGCCGACAGACAGCAUUACAACGGAUCUUGGCAAUCAUAAGACCCCCAAUGCAACCGUUAACAUUCGUUACCCGCCGGUCACGGAGUGCUACCAUCACGAGGUGGAGCUGGUCGUCGCACUGGGCUUCCCGACUAGCAAAAAAACGAUGUUCUCGGAAUCCGCGCAGGGCUCCGCCGACGCCCACUAUGCCAACAUGAAUAUAGAGGAAGUGCACGACAUCAUCUACGCCUAUGGCGUGGGGCUGGACAUGACACGAAGGGAUCUGCAGCUGGUGGCCAAGAGCAACGGCAAGCCCUGGGAUCUUUCCAAGGGCGCCGACGGCGCCGCCGUCGUCGCCCCCCUCGUCCUUUCGGAGGACCUGAGGGAGGCGCACCCGGAGAUGUUCAUGACGCUCGAUAAGGACGAGACGAAUGUGGUGAGCUGCGGAAGUAUUUUCCUCCACGUGAACCAGAAUGAGCGCCAGCGAAGUGACCUCAACUGCAUGGUGUCGUCGAUCGCGGAACUGAUUGCGCAACUGACCAAGUACGUCACACUGAAGCCCGGCGAUUUGCUCUUCACCGGGACCCCAUCCGGUGUGGGUGCUGUCCGUCGCGGUGAUGUGAUGGAGGCCGGCAUCCAGGGGCUUGGUACGCUCAAGGUGAACGUUAUAUAGCUGAGAAGCUGGUGGUGGUGGGGGGGGGCGUCGACCACAGGUUGGUAUGCGUGCGUUGUGAGCCUGGAUUCUACCUGCCACACCCCCUCCGUAGGUCUCUGCUGCGCGUAGUUGUGCAAGCGGUUGUCACGCUUGCCUUUUUAUCUUCUUGCUGCGCCGUUGAUGCGCAUCAUCCUCAUGUGCAGUGAAGCUGCUCCUCCUUGCGGUUGUACUUUCUUGCUUUUGUGUUGUGUGUGCUCGGGUUCCAUUCGUCGUCAUGCUAGCGAUUAUUGCUUUGGCUCGCCCUCUUGGUCCUCUUUUCAACAAUACGAAUAG